CACGUAGGGGGCGAGCGUUGUCCGGAUUUAUUGGGCGUAAAGAGCUCGUAGGCGGCUCAGUAAGUCGGGUGUGAAAUUUCAGGGCUCAACCCUGAAACGCCACCCGAUACUGCUGUGGCUAGAGUCCGGUAGGGGAGCGUGGAAUUCCUGGUGUAGCGGUGAAAUGCGCAGAUAUCAGGAGGAACACCAGCGGCGAAGGCGGCGCUCUGGGCCGGAACUGACGCUGAGGAGCGAAAGCCAGGGGAGCAAACGGG
rnacentral:rRNA from 1 species